rnacentral:rRNA from 1 species
CAGCAGCCACGGUAAUACGUAGGGGGCAAGCGUUAUCCGGAAUUACUGGGUGUAAAGGGAGCGUAGACGGUUAAACAAGUCUGAAGUGAAAUGCCGGGGCUCAACCCCGGAGCUGCUUUGGGAACUGUAGAACUGGAGUGUCGGAGGGGUAAGCGGAAUUCCCAGUGUAGCGGUGAAAUGCGUAGAUAUUGGGAGGAACACCGGCGGCGAAGGCGGCUUACUGGACGACAACUGACGUUGAGGCUCGAAGGCGUGGGUAGCAAACAGGAUUAGAUACCCCAGUAGUCCCUGUCUCUUAUAC